CGGCGGCGGGCGGCUGUGAGCGGGGGCUGGUUCCUAGUCCCCGGGAGAAGCCAAGAAGCCUGCCAGGGACGUGCUAGCUGCCUUGCCAAGAGCUAUCCUGGGAGGGCUAUUGAAAGAGCCUGGAGGGAUCCUUGCAACAUGAUACCACAUGAGUCUGUGAGACCUCUUGCAAAGGAUGUCUGGGACAGGGGGCCUGGCCCUCAGACCGUUCAUCACCUACCUGACACAGCCAUAUUUUCAUAAUGACACCUUGCCAUCAGGAAGCUCACCUGUGCUUGCUGGCAGUGAGGAACUCUACAGUCACUUUUCCUCCUUGGGGUGAUUGACAAUAGUUCAAGACCAUGGUCCAAGUACACUUCACAUAGAGAAUGAUGAAUGAUGAGUAUUCCACAGUGUCAAUGUCCUAAGGAAAAUGCCCUGCACAACUAAGGAGCCAGACCAGCCUCUAUCUAUGAGGAGCCCUUGGUUCCCCAAGGGUGGUGAAGAGUAUUGAGGAGACAUCAGGAAUCCUAGGCCCAUACUGUUCUUCAGCGUUGAAAUACGACUGUCAAAAUUGACAUGUGUGAUAAAGGUAAAAUGCAAACUGGAUUUUGAAGAUUUCACUUACAAAUGUAAAGUAUCUUAUGCAUGAUUUUUGUAUCAUUAUAAAUCAGGACAAUGAUAUUUUGACUAUAUUGGUUAAAUAAAAUAUACCAUGGGAAUAAA